UACAGAGGGUGCGAGCGUUGUUCGGAAUUAUUGGGCGUAAAGGGCGCGUAGGCGGUGCGGUAAGUCACCUGUGAAAUCUCCUGGCUCAACUGGGAGCUUGCAGGCGAAACUGCCGUGCUGGAGUGUGGGAGAGGUGCGUGGAAUUCCUGGUGUAGCGGUGGAAUGCGCAGAUAUCAGGAGGAACACCGGUGGCGAAGGCGGGAUCCUGGGCCAGUACUGACGCUGAGGAGCGAAAGCGUGGGAGCAAACAGG
rnacentral:rRNA from 1 species